AUUGAACGCUGGCGGCAGGCCUAACACAUGCAAGUCGGACGGUAGCACAGAGGAGCUUGCUCCUCGGGUGACGAGUGGCGGACGGGUGAGUAAUGUCUGGGGAUCUGCCCGAUAGAGGGGGAUAACCACUGGAAACGGUGGCUAAUACCGCAUAACGUCGCAAGACCAAAGAGGGGGACCUUCGGGCCUCUCACUAUCGGAUGAACCCAGAUGGGAUUAGCUAGUAGGCGGGGUAACGGCCCACCUAGGCGACGAUCCCUAGCUUGUCUGAGAGGAUGACCAGCCACACUGGAACUGAGACACGGUCCAGACUCCUACGGGAGGCAGCAGUGGGGAAUAUUGCACAAUGGGCGCGAGCCUGAUGCAGCCAUGCCGCGUGUAUGAAGAAGGCCUUCGGGUUGUAAAGUACUUUCAGCGGGGAGGAAGGCGGUGAGGUUAAUAACCUUGCCGAUUGACGUUACCCGCAGAAGAAGCACCGGCUAACUCCGUGCCAGCAGCCGCAGUAA
rnacentral:rRNA from 1 species